rnacentral:rRNA from 1 species
GAUGAACGCUGGCGGCGUGCCUAAUACAUGCAAGUCGAGCGAACGGACGAGAAGCUUUCUUCUCUGAUGUUAGCGGCGGACGGGUGAGUAACACGUGGAUAACCUACCUAUAAGACUGGGAUAACUUCGGGAAACCGGAGCUAAUACCGGAUAAAAUUUUGAACCGCAUGGUUCAAAAGAGAAAGAAGGUCUUGCUGUCACUUAUAGAUGAAUCCGCGCUGCAUUAGCUAGUUGGUAAGGUAACGGCUUACCAAGGCAACGAUGCAUAGCCGACCUGAGAGGGUGAUCGGCCACACUGGAACUGAGACACGGUCCAGACUCCUACGGGAGGCAGCAGUAGGGAAUCGUCCGCAAUGGGCUGAAGCCUGACGGAGCAACGCCGCGUGAGUGAUGAAGGUCUUCGGAUCGUAAAACUCUGUUAUUAGGGAAGAACAUAUGUGUAAGUAACUGUGCUCAUCUUGACGGUACUUAAUCAGAAAGCCACGGCUAACUACGUG